rnacentral:rRNA from 1 species
CCUGGCUUAGGACGAACGCUGGCGGCGUGCCUAAUACAUGCAAGUCGAACGGUCUUUUCUAUGGAAGCUUGCUUCCACUGAGAAGAUAGUGGCGAACGGGUGAGUAACACGUGGGUAACCUGCCCAUAAGAGGGGGAUAACAUCCGGAAACGGGUGCUAAUACCGCAUAGUUUUCUUGAUUGCAUGAUUGAGAAAGGAAAGACGGCCUUUGUGCUGUCGCUUAUGGAUGGACCCGCGGCGUAUUAGUUAGUUGGUGAGGUAACGGCUCACCAAGACGAUGAUACGUAGCCGACCUGAGAGGGUGAUCGGCCACAUUGGGACUGAGACACGGCCCAAACUCCUACGGGAGGCAGCAGUAGGGAAUCUUCCGCAAUGGACGAAAGUCUGACGGAGCAACGCCGCGUGAGUGAAGAAAGGUUUUCGGAUCGUAAAACUCUGUUGUCAGAGAAGAACAAGUUGGAGAGUAACUGCUCCAGCCUUGACGGUAUCUGACCAGAAAGCCACGGCUAACUACGUGCCAGCAGCGGC